rnacentral:rRNA from 1 species
GACGAACGCUGGCGGCGUGCUUAACACAUGCAAGUCGAACGGAAAGGCCCUGCUUUUGUGGGGUGCUCGAGUGGCGAACGGGUGAGUAACACGUGAGUAACCUGCCCUUGACUUUGGGAUAACUUCAGGAAACUGGGGCUAAUACCGGAUAGGAGCUCCUGCUGCAUGGUGGGGGUUGGAAAGUUUCGGCGGUUGGGGAUGGACUCGCGGCUUAUCAGCUUGUUGGUGGGGUAGUGGCUUACCAAGGCUUUGACGGGUAGCCGGCCUGAGAGGGUGACCGGGCACCAUGGGACUGAGAUACGGCCCAGAACGCUACGGGAGGCAGCGGUGGGGAAUAUUGCAGAAUGGGGCGGAGGCUGAUGUAGCAACGCCGGGUGCGGGAUGACCGGCUUCGGGGUGUAAACCGCUUUCGCCUGUGACGAAGCGUGAGUGACGGUAAUGGGUAAAGAAGCACCGGCUAACUACGUG